rnacentral:rRNA from 1 species
GAUGAACGCUGGCGGCGUGCCUAACACAUGCAAGUCGAACGAACAGACGGGGAGUUUGUUCCCUUGACGAUAGCGGCGGGCGGGUGAGUAACAUGUGCAUAACCCACCUAUAAGACGGGGAUGAGCUCGGAAAGCCGGAUCUAAUACCGGACAAUAUGCGGAACCGUAUUGAUCAGUAGGGAAAGACGGCUUUCCGGUCUGAGAUAGCUGCAUCCGCGCUGGAUGAGCUAGUUGGUCAGGAAACGGCCUACCAAGGCAACGAGGCGUAGCCGAGCUGAGAGGGUGAUCGGCCACACUGGAACUGAGCCACGGUCCAGGCUCCUACGGGAGGCAGCAGUAGGGAAUCUUCGGCAAUGGGCGAAAGCCUGACGGAGCAACGCCGCGUGGGUGAAGAAGGCCUUCGGAUCGUAAAGCUCUGUUAUUGGGGAAGAACCAAUGUGUAAGUAAAAAUGGACGUCUUGACGGUACCUAAUCAAAAAGCCCCGGCUAACUACGUG